rnacentral:rRNA from 1 species
AAGCUUGCUUGGUGGAUCAGUGGCGAACGGGUGAGUAACACGUGAGCAACCUGCCCUGGACUCUGGGAUAAGCGCUGGAAACGGCGUCUAAUACUGGAUAUGAGCUUCUACCGCAUGGUGGGGGUUGGAAAGAUUUUUCGGUCUGGGAUGGGCUCGCGGCCUAUCAGCUUGUUGGUGAGGUAAUGGCUCACCAAGGCGUCGACGGGUAGCCGGCCUGAGAGGGUGACCGGCCACACUGGGACUGAGACACGGCCCAGACUCCUACGGGAGGCAGCAGUGGGGAAUAUUGCACAAUGGGCGGAAGCCUGAUGCAGCAACGCCGCGUGAGGGAUGACGGCCUUCGGGUUGUAAACCUCUUUUAGCAGGGAAGAAGCGAAAGUGACGGUACCUGCAGAAAAAGCGCCGGCUAACUACGUGCCAGCAGCCGCGGUAAUACGUAGGGCGCAAGCGUUAUCCGGAAUUAUUGGGCGUAAAGAGCUCGUAGGCGGUUUGUCGCGUCUGCUGUGAAAUCCCGAGGCUCAACCUCGGGCCUGCAGUGGGUACGGGCAGACUAGAGUGCGGUAGGGGAGAUUGGAAUUCCUGGUGUAGCGGUGGAAUGCGCAGAUAUCAGGAGGAACACCGAUGGCGAAGGCAGAUCUCUGGGCCGUAACUGACGCUGAGGAGCGAAAGGGUGGGGAGCAAACAGGCUUAGAUACCCUGGUAGUCCACCCCGUAAACGUUGGGAACUAGU